GACGAACGCUGGCGGCGUGCCUAAUACAUGCAAGUCGAGCGAACGGAUGAAGAAGCUUGCUUUCUCCUGAUGUUAGCGGCGGACGGGUGAGUAACACGUGGGCAACCUGCCCUUUAGUUUGGGAUAACUUCGGGAAACCGGAGCUAAUACCGAAUAAUACUCUAAGCCUCAUGGUUUGAAGUUGAAAGACGGUUUCGGCUGUCGCUAAAGGAUGGGGCCCGCGGUGCAUUAGCUAGUUGGUGAGGUAACGGCUCACCAAGGCAACGAUGCAUAGCCGACCUGAGAGGGUGAUCGGCCACACUGGGACUGAGACACGGCCCAGACUCCUACGGGAGGCAG
rnacentral:rRNA from 1 species